GGGGCUUUUCUGUACCCAGUGGAUAACUAGCUGGCAUACUUUCAUACUUUAUGUAUAAUUACUUGUAGGUCGAGGAGAUAAUAAGAACAUUAAAUAUAUGCCAAU
rnacentral:ribozyme from 1 species